rnacentral:rRNA from 1 species
GGUUAAGUUAGAAAGGGCGCACGGUGGAUGCCUUGGCACUAGGAGCCGAUGAAGGACGGGACGAACACCGAUAUGCUUCGGGGAGCUGUAAGCAAGCUUUGAUCCGGAGAUUUCCGAAUGGGGAAACCCACCACUCGUAAUGGAGUGGUAUCCAUAUCUGAAUACAUAGGAUAUGAGAAGGCAGACCCGGGGAACUGAAACAUCUAAGUACCCGGAGGAAGAGAAAGCAAAUGCGAUUCCCUGAGUAGCGGCGAGCGAAACGGGACCAGCCCAAACCAAGAGGCUUGCCUCUUGGGGUUGUAGGACACUCUGUACGGAGUUACAAAGGAACGAGGUAGAUGAAGAGGUCUGGAAAGGCCCGCCAUAGAAGGUAACAGCCCUGUAGUCAAAACUUCGUUCUCUCCUGAGUGGAUCCUGAGUACGGCGGAACACGUGAAAUUCCGUCGGAAUCCGGGAGGACCAUCUCCCAAGGCUAAAUACUCCCUAGUGACCGAUAGUGAACCAGUACCGUGAGGGAAAGGUGAAAAGCACCCCGGAAGGGGAGUGAAAGAGAUCCUGAAACCGUGUGCCUACAAGUAGUCAGAGCCCGUUAAUGGGUGAUGGCGUGCCUUUUGUAGAAUGAACCGGCGAGUUACGAUCCCGUGCAAGGUUAAGCAGAAGAUGCGGAGCCGCAGCGAAAGCGAGUCUGAAUAGGGCGAAUUGAGUACGUGGUCGUAGACCCGAAACCAGGUGAUCUACCCAUGUCCAGGGUGAAGUUCAGGUAACACUGAAUGGAGGCCCGAACCCACGCACGUUGAAAAGUGCGGGGAUGAGGUGUGGGUAGGGGUGAAAUGCCAAUCGAACCUGGAGAUAGCUGGUUCUCUCCGAAAUAGCUUUAGGGCUAGCCUCAAGGUAAGAGUCUCGGAGGUAGAGCACUGAUUGGACUAGGGGCCCCUACCGGGUUACCGAAUUCAGUCAAACUCCGAAUGCCGAUGACUUAUCCUUGGGAGUCAGACUGCGAGUGAUAAGAUCCGUAGUCGAAAGGGAAACAGCCCAGACCGCCAGCUAAGGUCCCAAAGUAUACGUUAAGUGGAAAAGGAUGUGGAGUUGCUUAGACAACCAGGAUGUUGGCUUAGAAGCAGCCACCAUUUAAAGAGUGCGUAAUAGCUCACUGGUCGAGUGACUCUGCGCCGAAAAUGUACCGGGGCUAAACGUAUCACCGAAGCUGCGGACUGUUCUUCGAACAGUGGUAGGAGAGCGUUCUAAGGGCUGUGAAGCAAGACCGGAAGGACUUGUGGAGCGCUUAGAAGUGAGAAUGCCGGUAUGAGUAGCGAAAGAGGGGUGAGAAUCCCCUCCACCGAAUGCCUAAGGUUUCCUGAGGAAGGCUCGUCCGCUCAGGGUUAGUCGGGACCUAAGCCGAGGCCGAAAGGCGUAGGCGAUGGAUAACAGGUUGAUAUUCCUGUACCACCUCCUCACCAUUUGAGCAAUGGGGGGACGCAGGAGGAUAGGGUAAGCGCGGUAUUGGAUAUCCGCGUCCAAGCAGUUAGGCUGGGAAAUAGGCAAAUCCGUUUCCCGUGAAGGCUGAGCUGUGAUGGCGAGCGAAUUAUAGUAGCGAAGUUCCUGAUUCCACACUGCCAAGAAAAGCCUCUAGCGAGGUGAGAGGUGCCCGUACCGCAAACCGACACAGGUAGGCGAGGAGAGAAUCCUAAGGUGAUCGAGAGAACUCUCGUUAAGGAACUCGGCAAAAUGACCCCGUAACUUCGGGAGAAGGGGUGCUCUGUUAGGGUGCAAGCCCGAGAGAGCCGCAGUGAAUAGGCCCAGGCGACUGUUUAGCAAAAACACAGGUCUCUGCGAAGCCGUAAGGCGAAGUAUAGGGCUGACGCCUGCCCGGUGCUGGAAGGUUAAGAGGAGCGCUUAGCGUAAGCGAAGGUGCGAAUUGAAGCCCCAGUAAACGGCGGCCGUAACUAUAACGGUCCUAAGGUAGCGAAAUUCCUUGUCGGGUAAGUUCCGACCCGCACGAAAGGCGCAACGAUCUGGGCACUGUCUCAACGAGAGACUCGGUGAAAUUAUAGUACCUGUGAAGAUGCAGGUUACCCGCGACAGGACGGAAAGACCCCGUGGAGCUUUACUGCAGCCUGAUAUUGAAUGUUGGUACAGCUUGUACAGGAUAGGUAGGAGCCUUGGAAACCGGAGCGCCAGCUUCGGUGGAGGCAUCGGUGGGAUACUACCCUGGCUGUAUUGACCUUCUAACCCGCCGCCCUUAUCGGGCAGGGAGACAGUGUCAGGUGGGCAGUUUGACUGGGGCGGUCGCCUCCUAAAAGGUAACGGAGGCGCCCAAAGGUUCCCUCAGAAUGGUUGGAAAUCAUUCGCAGAGUGUAAAGGCACAAGGGAGCUUGACUGCGAGACCUACAAGUCGAGCAGGGACGAAAGUCGGGCUUAGUGAUCCGGUGGUUCCGCAUGGAAGGGCCAUCGCUCAACGGAUAAAAGCUACCCCGGGGAUAACAGGCUUAUCUCCCCCAAGAGUCCACAUCGACGGGGAGGUUUGGCACCUCGAUGUCGGCUCAUCGCAUCCUGGGGCUGUAGUCGGUCCCAAGGGUUGGGCUGUUCGCCCAUUAAAGCGGUACGCGAGCUGGGUUCAGAACGUCGUGAGACAGUUCGGUCCCUAUCCGUCGCGGGCGCAGGAAAUUUGAGAGGAGCUGUCCUUAGUACGAGAGGACCGGGAUGGACGCACCGCUGGUGUACCAGUUGUUCUGCCAAGGGCAUCGCUGGGUAGCUAUGUGCGGACGGGAUAAGUGCUGAAAGCAUCUAAGCAUGAAGCCCCCCUCAAGAUGAGAUUUCCCAUUCCGCAAGGAAGUAAGAUCCCUGAAAGAUGAUCAGGUUGAUAGGUCUGAGGUGGAAGUGUGGCGACACAUGGAGCUGACAGAUACUAAUCGAUCGAGGACUUAACCAA